ensembl:lncRNA
GAAGCUCCAUUUUACCUUAAUUUCCUUUCCUAUAGUAAUUCCUGUGCAGAAAAGGAUGAGGGAAUAAAAAGCAGCAUUACCUCGCAUGAGUGAUGUGGCCUUUGGAACAUUAGGUUCCCACUCUUAGACAAGGGAGGUCAUUUUUAUUGAAUGAGUAAAUGAUGGGAAGGAAUCAAAUUAUUGUCUCCUUUUACAUUGUGCCUGCAUUUGGUUUACAUGGCUCGCUCUUCCCUUUAUUUUUCAGAUAAGGGGGAACAGGAUAAAUGUAAGUCCCGUUAAUGUUUCACAGUUUGCAGUUUGUCGUGUUUCUUUCAUUUCUUUAACUUUGGUCUUCAGUCUCAGCAAUCAUCUUCCUCAACUGCAAUGUACAUAUAACUUUGCAUCAUUCUUUCUCAUUUUAUGAUUAUUUCAACUGAAGUCUGCCCCCUUCAUUUGUUAUUCAAUGCUCUAUUACUUUUGCUUUGAUUUGUCCCAUCUGUGUAAUUCCUGUAGACAUUUUCCUUU